AUGGUGGCUAGGCUUGCGAAGAGAGUGCAUAUAUAUAGCUUGCUGGUCUGCUAUAUACUAGUACUACUAUUGGUAGCUAGGAGGCGUGCUGCUAGUGUUGCCUGGGCUCUCAUUUGGGAAUAUAGCUUGCUGGUCUCGUGUAUACUAUUGGUAGCUAGGAGCCCAGUUAGGGUAGAAUUCUUCAUGUCUUAUAUGUUAACUGUCAGUUACAACUUCCAUGCAUCGCGUACGCCGUCUCAACUACGGGUUUCAACGUUGCCAAAUGACAUAGUAUAUUGUGCGUGCUCUGUCUCCUGUCACAGAUGGUGA
rnacentral:rRNA from 1 species